UACGUAGGGUGCAAGCGUUAAUCGGAAUUACUGGGCGUAAAGCGUGCGUAGACGGUUAUGUAAGUCAGAUGUGAAAGCCCCGGGCUCAACCUGGGAAUUGCAUUUGAGACUGCAUAGCUAGGGUGCGGAAGAGGGAAGCGGAAUUUCCGGUGUAGCGGUAAAAUGCGUAGAUAUCGGAAGGAACACCAGUGGCGAAAGCGGCUUCCUGGUCCAGCACCGACGUUCAGGCACGAAAGCGUGGGGAGCAAACAGG
rnacentral:rRNA from 1 species